AACAUCGCGCACCUGCGGGAACCUGCGGAGGGAUCAUUACCGAGUUUACAACUCCCAAACCCCUGUGAACAUACCUAUACGUUGCCUCGGCGGAUCAGCCCGCGCCCCGUAAAAAGGGACGGCCCGCCCGAGGACCCCUAAACUCUGUUUUUAGUGGAACUUCUGAGUAAAACAAACAAAUAAAUCAAAACUUUCAGCAAUGGAUCU
rnacentral:misc_RNA from 1 species